rnacentral:rRNA from 1 species
UACAGAGGGUGCAAGCGUUGUUCGGAAUUAUUGGGCGUAAAGCGCGUGUAGGCGGCUUGGCAAGUCAGAUGUGAAAGCCCUCGGCUUAACCGAGGAAGUGCGUCUGAAACUGCUGAGCUUGAGUCUCGGAGAGGAUGGCGGAAUUCCGCAAGUAGAGGUGAAAUUCGUAGAUAUGCGGAGGAACACCGGUGGCGAAGGCGGCCAUCUGGACGAGUACUGACGCUGAGACGCGAAAGCGUGGGGAGCGAACAGG